rnacentral:ncRNA from 1 species
GACAUGCAUUCAGAUUGGGCCACUGCCCAGGCCAACCUGCCCCCUCGGGCAAGGUGGCGAGCCACGUAGGCGAUGCGGCCGGGCAGCCGGCAACGAAGCGAGGCACA